rnacentral:lncRNA from 1 species
AUUCUACAACUUGAAUAUCAGAUGAUGCAUCUUUUUGCAUAAGAAAAUAUACAUGUAUACUCUCCAACUUGAAAAUCAGAUGUUGCAUCUUCUUUAGUAGAUAUAUAUACACAGAGGCAAACCCAAAAUUUGAAGAUAGGGGGUGCACCAUUAUGUUUAACUUCUGAUGAUCAACUUAUGACUUGUAUUGUUGUUUGUCGGAAUGACAUCGUAUUUUCGUUGGCACUUGGCCGCUGAUGAUGAUGGCUGCGUGAGUAUUUUCAGGUUGUGAAAUUUUUCCUUGGCUUGGAGCUUGGAGUGAAUUUUGAGGAAAAUAAUUUAGUUUAAGGGAUUUGGGAAUUGGGGGAGAAAAAUACGUGUGGGCAGUGGAAUUGGGAAUUGGGAUUUGGGAAUAGAACAUUCCAUGGGUUAUUAAUUUAAUUAAUUAUUAAAAUAAUAGUAUGGUGGGUCAGAUCUAAUGACGCGCACAAUUGAGCGUAGAACCAAUGCACCAAGAGUCCAAGACACAAUUUGAUAUUGAGGGUACAAUCUAAUAAAUUAACCUUAUUUGGAUAUCUAUAUAUAUAUAUAUAUAUAUAUAUAUAUAUAUAUACUUUUUAAAAAGUUACCGGAAGUUACCGGGUGCACGUGCACCCUCACGGUGACACGUGGAUCCACACCUGCAUAUACAUGUAUCUGUGCGUAUACUCAAAGUAAAAGGGGGUCAAGAACGUUGGAAGUGUGUCGAUCAAUAUCAAGAAAUCAUAAGGACACCGCAGUUCGCUGGAAAAUAUAAGAUUGGUCGGAUCAAUGAACGAGAAUCAUGAGAGCACUGGAGUUCACCAAAAAAUAUAAGAUCCGAUCAGAACAUGCACAUGCACACCGUCCAACAGUAUGAGAGCCCUCAUUAAUGGAGGAAAGAAAGAGUAGAACGAAGCCACAGUGGUGUUGUGGUGGCGGCGAUCAGAGGCAAUUCUAAGAUUUGUAAAUCAUGCAUGGUUGCACCACUACAAUAAAAGAAGAAGAAAAUGUAUUAGGUGGUAAUCGAACCCUAGAUCUUAAAAUAAAUAGCUUAACCUUUAGCCACG